CAUAAAUGCUUAAUCUGUCAUAUGGUUCACGGUGAUUCGACUCUCUCUUUGCAGGACUAUCUGCGUCACAUUCUUUCUGGUGUGGCUUACUGUCAUGCACGUAAGAUUCUUCACCGAGAUUUAAAACCUGCAAAUUUGUUGAUAGAUCUCAGAGAAAACAGAGUGAAGGUAGCAGACUUUGGAUUGGCUAGGCCAGUUGGUGUUCCCUUGAAGUCAUAUACUGGACAGGUAGGAACUCCCGGCUACAAGGCUCCAGAAAAUUUUUCUUGGCUCACACCAAUACUCUUCUGCUGUUGACAUCUGGUCUGUUGGUUGCACAUUCGUAGAGAUGCAUUUUGGGCACACCAAAUGAAGAAACUUGGCCAGGAGUGACCUCUUUAUCUGAACAGAUUAAUC